GGGGAUGAGGCUCAGUGGUAAGAGUCCAUGCCUAGCAUGCACAAGGUCCUGGGUUCAAUCCCCAGCAAACACA
rnacentral:tRNA from 1 species